rnacentral:misc_RNA from 1 species
UAGUCGUAACAAGGUAGCCGUAUCGGAAGGUGCGGCUGGAUCACCUCCUUUUGAGCAUGACGUCAUCGUCCUGUCGGGCGUCCUCACAAAUUACCUGCAUUCAGAGAUGCGUAUCGGCACAGGCCGGUAUGCGAAAGUCCCAUCAUGGGGCCUUAGCUCAGCUGGGAGAGCACCUGCUUUGCAAGCAGGGGGUCGUCGGUUCGAUCCCGACAGGCUCCACCAUUUGAGUGAAACGACUUUGGGUCUGUAGCUCAGGUGGUUAGAGCGCACCCCUGAUAAGGGUGAGGUCGGUGGUUCGAGUCCUCCCAGACCCACCACUCUGAAUGUAGUGCACACUUAAGAAUUUAUAUGGAUCAGCGUUGAGGCUGAGACAUGUUCUUUUAUAACUUGUGACGUAGCGAGCGUUUGAGAUAUCUAUCUAAACGUGUCGUUGAGGCUAAGGCGGGGACUUCGAGUCCCUAAAUAAUUGAGUCGUAUGUUCGCGUUGGUGGCUUUGUACCCCACACAACACGACAUAUGAUCCUGAGGCAACUUGGGGUUAUAUGGUCAAGCGAAUAAGCGCACACGGUGGAGCCUUUGGCACA